rnacentral:tRNA from 1 species
AGAGAGAAAUAUUUAAAAUCAGGAGUUGGAAGAGAAUUUAUUAAAAAACAUAUUUUGAACAUAUCCGCCGCGGCGGACACAGGUUCGAGUCCUGUUCCCGCUACCA